GGGUUGUGAGGUUAAGCGACUAAGCGUACACGGUGGAUGCCCUGGCAGUCAGAGGCGAUGAAGGACGUGCUAAUCUGCGAUAAGCGUCGGUAAGGUGAUAUGAACCGUUAUAACCGGCGAUUUCCGAAUGGGGAAACCCAGUGUGAUUCGUCACACUAUCAUUAACUGAAUCCAUAGGUUAAUGAGGCGAACCGGGGGAACUGAAACAUCUAAGUACCCCGAGGAAAAGAAAUCAACCGAGAUUCCCCCAGUAGCGGCGAGCGAACGGGGAGCAGCCCAGAGCCUGAAUCAGUGUGUGUGUUAGUGGAAGCGUCUGGAAAGGCGCGCGAUACAGGGUGACAGCCCCGUACACAAAAAUGCACAUGCUGUGAGCUCGAUGAGUAGGGCGGGACACGUGGUAUCCUGUCUGAAUAUGGGGGGACCAUCCUCCAAGGCUAAAUACUCCUGACUGACCGAUAGUGAACCAGUACCGUGAGGGAAAGGCGAAAAGAACCCCGGCGAGGGGAGUGAAAAAGAACCUGAAACCGUGUACGUACAAGCAGUGGGAGCCUCUUUAUGGGGUGACUGCGUACCUUUUGUAUAAUGGGUCAGCGACUUAUAUUCUGUAGCAAGGUUAACCGAAUAGGGGAGCCGAAGGGAAACCGAGUCUUAACUGGGCGUUAAGUUGCAGGGUAUAGACCCGAAACCCGGUGAUCUAGCCAUGGGCAGGUUGAAGGUUGGGUAACACUAACUGGAGGACCGAACCGACUAAUGUUGAAAAAUUAGCGGAUGACUUGUGGCUGGGGGUGAAAGGCCAAUCAAACCGGGAGAUAGCUGGUUCUCCCCGAAAGCUAUUUAGGUAGCGCCUCGUGAAUUCAUCUCCGGGGGUAGAGCACUGUUUCGGCAAGGGGGUCAUCCCGACUUACCAACCCGAUGCAAACUGCGAAUACCGGAGAAUGUUAUCACGGGAGACACACGGCGGGUGCUAACGUCCGUCGUGAAGAGGGAAACAACCCAGACCGCCAGCUAAGGUCCCAAAGUCAUGGUUAAGUGGGAAACGAUGUGGGAAGGCCCAGACAGCCAGGAUGUUGGCUUAGAAGCAGCCAUCAUUUAAAGAAAGCGUAAUAGCUCACUGGUCGAGUCGGCCUGCGCGGAAGAUGUAACGGGGCUAAACCAUGCACCGAAGCUGCGGCAGCGACACUAUGUGUUGUUGGGUAGGGGAGCGUUCUGUAAGCCUGCGAAGGUGUACUGUGAGGUAUGCUGGAGGUAUCAGAAGUGCGAAUGCUGACAUAAGUAACGAUAAAGCGGGUGAAAAGCCCGCUCGCCGGAAGACCAAGGGUUCCUGUCCAACGUUAAUCGGGGCAGGGUGAGUCGACCCCUAAGGCGAGGCCGAAAGGCGUAGUCGAUGGGAAACAGGUUAAUAUUCCUGUACUUGGUGUUACUGCGAAGGGGGGACGGAGAAGGCUAUGUUGGCCGGGCGACGGUUGUCCCGGUUUAAGCGUGUAGGCUGGUUUUCCAGGCAAAUCCGGAAAAUCAAGGCUGAGGCGUGAUGACGAGGCACUACGGUGCUGAAGCAACAAAUGCCCUGCUUCCAGGAAAAGCCUCUAAGCAUCAGGUAACAUCAAAUCGUACCCCAAACCGACACAGGUGGUCAGGUAGAGAAUACCAAGGCGCUUGAGAGAACUCGGGUGAAGGAACUAGGCAAAAUGGUGCCGUAACUUCGGGAGAAGGCACGCUGAUACGUAGGUGAAGCGACUUGCUCGUGGAGCUGAAAUCAGUCGAAGAUACCAGCUGGCUGCAACUGUUUAUUAAAAACACAGCACUGUGCAAACACGAAAGUGGACGUAUACGGUGUGACGCCUGCCCGGUGCCGGAAGGUUAAUUGAUGGGGUUAGCGCAAGCGAAGCUCUUGAUCGAAGCCCCGGUAAACGGCGGCCGUAACUAUAACGGUCCUAAGGUAGCGAAAUUCCUUGUCGGGUAAGUUCCGACCUGCACGAAUGGCGUAAUGAUGGCCAGGCUGUCUCCACCCGAGACUCAGUGAAAUUGAACUCGCUGUGAAGAUGCAGUGUACCCGCGGCAAGACGGAAAGACCCCGUGAACCUUUACUAUAGCUUGACACUGAACAUUGAGCCUUGAUGUGUAGGAUAGGUGGGAGGCUUUGAAGUGUGGACGCCAGUCUGCAUGGAGCCGACCUUGAAAUACCACCCUUUAAUGUUUGAUGUUCUAACGUGGACCCGUAAUCCGGGUUGCGGACAGUGUCUGGUGGGUAGUUUGACUGGGGCGGUCUCCUCCUAAAGAGUAACGGAGGAGCACGAAGGUUGGCUAAUCCUGGUCGGACAUCAGGAGGUUAGUGCAAUGGCAUAAGCCAGCUUGACUGCGAGCGUGACGGCGCGAGCAGGUGCGAAAGCAGGUCAUAGUGAUCCGGUGGUUCUGAAUGGAAGGGCCAUCGCUCAACGGAUAAAAGGUACUCCGGGGAUAACAGGCUGAUACCGCCCAAGAGUUCAUAUCGACGGCGGUGUUUGGCACCUCGAUGUCGGCUCAUCACAUCCUGGGGCUGAAGUAGGUCCCAAGGGUAUGGCUGUUCGCCAUUUAAAGUGGUACGCGAGCUGGGUUUAGAACGUCGUGAGACAGUUCGGUCCCUAUCUGCCGUGGGCGCUGGAGAACUGAGGGGGGCUGCUCCUAGUACGAGAGGACCGGAGUGGACGCAUCACUGGUGUUCGGGUUGUCAUGCCAAUGGCACUGCCCGGUAGCUAAAUGCGGAAGAGAUAAGUGCUGAAAGCAUCUAAGCACGAAACUUGCCCCGAGAUGAGUUCUCCCUGACUCCUUGAGAGUCCUGAAGGAACGUUGAAGACGACGACGUUGAUAGGCCGGGUGUGUAAGCGCAGCGAUGCGUUGAGCUAACCGGUACUAAUGAACCGUGAGGCUUAACCUUACAACGCCGAAG
rnacentral:rRNA from 1 species